GUAGGUGGCAAGCGUUGUCCGGAAUUAUUGGGCGUAAAGCGCGCGCAGGCGGUUUUUUAAGUCUGAUGUGAAAGCCCACGGCUCAACCGUGGAGGGUCAUUGGAAACUGGAGAACUUGAGUACAGAAGAGGAAAGCGGAAUUCCACGUGUAGCGGUGAAAUGCGUAGAGAUGUGGAGGAACACCAGUGGCGAAGGCGGCUUUCUGGUCUGUAACUGACGCUGAGGCGCGAAAGCGUGGGGAGCAAACAGGGAUUAGAUACCCUGGUAGUCCACGCCGUAAACGAUGAGUGCUAAGUGCUAGGGGGUUUCCGCCCCCCUUAGUGCUGCAGCUAACGCAUUAAGCACUCCGCCUGGGAGUACGGCCGCAAGGCUG
rnacentral:rRNA from 1 species